CUACGUGCCAGCAGCCGCGGUAAUACGUAGGGUGCAAGCGUUAUCCGGAAUUAUUGGGCGUAAAGGGCUCGUAGGCGGUUCGUCGCGUCCGGUGUGAAAGUCCAUCGCUUAACGGUGGAUUCGCGCCGGGUACGGGCGGGCUUGAGUGCGGUAGGGGAGACUGGAAUUCCCGGUGUAACGGUGGAAUGUGUAGAUAUCGGGAAGAACACCAAUGGCGAAGGCAGGUCUCUGGGCCGUUACUGACGCUGAGGAGCGAAAGCGUGGGGAGCGAACAGGAUUAGAUACCCUGGUAGUCCACGCCGUAAACGGUGGAUGCUGGAUGUGGGGCCCGUUCCACGGGUUCCGUGUCGGAGCUAACGCGUUAAGCAUCCCGCCUGGGGAGUACGGCCGCAAGGCUAAAACUCAAAGAAAUUGACGGGGGCCCGCACAAGCGGAGGAACAUGUGGUUUAAUUCGAUGAUACGCGAGGAACCUUACCCGGGCU
rnacentral:rRNA from 1 species